GGGCCUUUAGCUCAGUUGGUUAGAGCGCGCCCCUGAUAAGGACGAGGUCGAAGGUCCGAGCCCUUUAAGGCCCACCA
rnacentral:tRNA from 1 species